AUGGGCCUCUGGAACUACGGCCGCAAAGGCAGGCACGACCGCGAGGCCGGCUCCUCGUCGGGAUGCCGCCGCGGCUCGGUGAAGAAGGAGGAGCCCGCCUCGCCAUCGCCACCACGCCGGGCCCCCGCGCCGCCCGCCUUCUCCAUCGCGCACACGUCCGCCGGCGAGCGCGACCGGCAUUACGUCCGAGCGUCGGUGUGCCGCCGUUAUUGGGAGAUGAGGACGCCGCUCCCCUGGAGCGACGCCCAUCUCCCCAAUAACUGGCACCUCUCCGCCGACCGGGUCCCCAUCCCGCCGGUCCCGACGAGCGGCCGUGCGCGCGACGAGGAGAUCGAGCGCCGCCGCCGCCUCCUCCCCGACGACCUAUUCUACGACGCCAGGUACGCCCCCGACUCCCCGCUGUGGGACACCUGGUUUCGUGACGAGCAUGACACCAGGCGCGCCUCCUUCUUCGCCGGCACCUCGACGGGGCCGCGGCGGCCACGGGAGCGCGCCCAGGAGCGCGGGCGUAGGCGGGUCCACGGCGUCACGCCCACGCCGUCGCCGUCUCCGUCGCCCCCUCCACCUCCUCGCAUGACAGACGAGGAGGAGGCCCGUCUCCUGCAGCGUGUCAUGGACGACUCCAUGUACACGCACGAUGAGCGGCAGUGGGACGGCCUGGAGGAGGCCAUGGCCCUCUCUGCUGCCGCCGCCGUGUUCCAGCCGCUGCUGGGCCAGGGGUGGGGCUGGUCCUGCACUGCUCCGGAGAUGGCCGCCGGCGUGGGCGUGAACUGGUGCCCCACUCCGCCGCGGUCACCGGAGCGGGAGGCCUCGCCACGGGAGGAGGUGGUGCAGGCACCUCCGGGCGUCCAGCCCGCCCCCGUCCACCACGCACCUCCGGCCCACCUCUAG
rnacentral:rRNA from 1 species